rnacentral:tRNA from 3 species
CGGGGCGGACGUGGCCAAGUGGAUCAAGGCAGUGGA